AAAGAAAGAGGGCGGCAGGACGAACACAGGCAAGUCGAACGAGACCUUCGGGUCUAGUGGCGCACGGGUGCGUAACGCGUGGGAACCUGCCCUUAGGUUCGGAAUAACUCCCCGAAAGGGGUGCUAAUACCGGAUAAUGUCUUCGGACCAAAGAUUUAUCGCCUUUGGAUGGGCCCGCGUUGGAUUAGCUAGUUGGUAGGGUAAAAGCCUACCAAGGCGACGAUCCAUAGCUGGUCUGAGAGGAUGAUCAGCCACACUGGGACUGAGACACGGCCCAGACUCCUACGGGAGGCAGCAGUGGGGAAUAUUGGACAAUGGGCGAAAGCCUGAUCCAGCAAUGCCGCGUGAGUGAUGAAGGCCUUAGGGUUGUAAAGCUCUUUUACCCGGGAUGAUAAUGACAGUACCGGGAGAAUAAGCUCCGGCUAACUCCGUA
rnacentral:rRNA from 1 species